CCGAGUUUACAACUCCAAACCCAUUGUGAACCAUACCAAACUGUUGCCUCGGCGGGGUCACGCCCCGGGUGCGUCGCAGCCCCGGAACCAGGCGCCCGCCGGAGGGACCAACCAAACUCUUUCUGUAGUCCCCUCGCGGACGUUAUUUUUACAGCUCUGAGCAAAAAUUCAAAAUGAAUCAA
rnacentral:misc_RNA from 1 species